AUUGAACGCUGGCGGCAUGCUUUACACAUGCAAGUCGAACGGUAACAGGCCUUCGGGUGCUGACGAGUGGCGAACGGGUGAGUAAUGCAUCGGAACGUACCCAGAGGUGGGGGAUAACGCAGCGAAAGCUGUGCUAAUACCGCAUGUGAUCUGAGGAUGAAAGCGGGGGACCGAGCAGCAAUGUUUGGCCUCGCGCCUUUGGAGCGGCCGAUGUCGGAUUAGCUAGUUGGUGGGGUAAAGGCCUACCAAGGCGACGAUCCGUAGCUGGUCUGAGAGGACGACCAGCCACACUGGGACUGAGACACGGCCCAGACUCCUACGGGAGGCAGCAGUGGGGAAUUUUGGACAAUGGGCACAAGCCUGAUCCAGCAAUGCCGCGUGCGGGAAGAAGGCCUUCGGGUUGUAAACCGCUUUUGGCAGGAACGAAACGGUGUCCGCUAAUACCGGGCGCUAAUGACGGUACCUGCAGAAUAAGCACCGGCUAACUACGUG
rnacentral:rRNA from 1 species